UCUCUGAUAGCUCAGUUGGUAAAGAAGCCGCCUGUAAUGCAGUAGACCCCAGUUUGAUUUCUGGGUCAGGAAG
rnacentral:tRNA from 1 species